ACGAAGGGUGCAAGCGUUACUCGGAAUUACUGGGCGUAAAGCGCGCGUAGGCGGUUGUUUAAGUCAGUUGUGAAAGCCCUGGGCUUAACCUGGGAACUGCGAUGGAAACUGGGCGACUAGAGUGUGGUAGAGGGUAGCGGAAUUCCGGGUGUAGCAGUGAAAUGCGUAGAUAUCAGGAGGAACACCCAUGGCGAAGGCAGCAACCUGGACCAACACUGACGCUGAGGCGCGAAAGCGUGGGGAGCAAACAG
rnacentral:rRNA from 1 species